rnacentral:lncRNA from 1 species
UGCUCUUUCCACACGCCCAUCCUCGCCCCCAUCACACACACGGAUGCACAAGAUUCUUAGCAUUAAUCUUCCCACUUGGAAGCUUAAUUAACUAAUAUAUGUGCAGGUGUACUUGUGAGAAAUCAAUUGCUAACAUCACUCAUCUUGGCCCAUGAUCACCAUGGCCAUCAUGCGUCUAGCACCUUGUAAAGAUCCUCCCGAAUCCAUGUGCUUGCCCUUGAUCGUAUCUAUAAUUAAACAAGAUGGGCUAUAAAAACGUUCUUGUUGCUAAAAGAUUUCAUUUUUCUUAGUGUUCGAGCUGAGAGACCAUAAUUUACCCAUGUUAACUACUUGAGAAAGAUAACUACUGGCAAAGACAGGGAAAUUAAUGAAAGGCAACCCUAGAGAUAUCUUCCCUCACCUUACUUGAAGAGACUGUGCCCUUCACUUAGCUAGGCUGAUUAUAAAUUUGUUGGCCAAUUC